rnacentral:rRNA from 1 species
GACGAACGCUGGCGGCGUGCCUAAUACAUGCAAGUAGAACGCACAGUUUAUACCGUAGCUUGCUACACCAUAGACUGUGAGUUGCGAACGGGUGAGUAACGCGUAGGUAACCUGCCUGGUAGCGGGGGAUAACUAUUGGAAACGAUAGCUAAUACCGCAUAAUAUUAAUUAUUGCAUGAUAAUUAAUUGAAAGGUGCAAUUGCACCACUACCAGAUGGACCUGCGUUGUAUUAGCUAGUAGGUGAGGUAACGGCUCACCUAGGCGACGAUACAUAGCCGACCUGAGAGGGUGAUCGGCCACACUGGGACUGAGACACGGCCCAGACUCCUACGGGAGGCAGCAGUAGGGAAUCUUCGGCAAUGGACGAAAGUCUGACCGAGCAACGCCGCGUGAGUGAAGAAGGUUGUCGGAUCGUAAAGCUCGGUUGUAAGAGAAGAACGGGUGUGAGAGUGGAAAGUUCACACUGUGACGGUAGCUUACCAGAAAGGGACGGCUAACUACGUG